ACGUAGGGUCCGAGCGUUGUCCGGAAUUAUUGGGCGUAAAGAGCUCGUAGGCGGUAUGUCGCGUCUACUGUGAAAGACCGGGGCUUAACUUCGGUUUUGCAGUGGAUACGGGCAUGCUGGAGGUAGGUAGGGGAGACUGGAAUUCCUGGUGUAGCGGUGAGAUGCGCAGAUAUCAGGAGGAACACCGGUGGCGAAGGCGGGUCUCUGGGCAGUAACUGACGCUGAGGAGCGAAAGCGUGGGGAGCGAACAGGA
rnacentral:rRNA from 1 species